UACGUAGGAGGCGAGCGUUGUCCGGAUUUACUGGGCGUAAAGGGUGCGCAGGCGGCGGUUCGCGUGGAUAGAUGAAAUCUCCUGGCUUACCUGGGAGGAUGGUAUCCAGACGGGAUCGCUUGAGGGUCGGAGAGGGGCGUGGAAUUCCGGGUGGGGCGGUGAAAUGCGUAGAUAUCUGGAAGAACACCCGUGGCGAAGGCGGUUCUCUGGGACGGUACUGACGCUGAGACGCGAAAGCGUGGGGAGCGAACAGG
rnacentral:rRNA from 1 species